UACGUAGGGGUGCAAGCGUUAAUCGGAAUUACUGGGCGUAAAGCGUGCGCAGGCGGUUUUGUAAGUCUGUCGUGAAAUCCCCGGGCUCAACCUGGGAAUUGCGAUGGAGACUGCAAGGCUAGAAUCUGGCAGAGGGGGGUAGAAUUCCACGUGUAGCAGUGAAAUGCGUAGAGAUGUGGAGGAACACCGAUGGCGAAGGCAGCCCCCUGGGUCAAGAUUGACGCUCCAUGCACGAAAGCGUGGGGAGCAAACAGGAU
rnacentral:rRNA from 1 species